GACGAACGCUGGCGGCGUGCUUAACACAUGCAAGUCGAACGGAAAGGCCUGCUUUCCCUUGUGGAUUGCGGGUACUCGAGUGGCGAACGGGUGAGUAACACGUGAGUGAUCUGCCCCCAACUUGGGUAUAAGCCUGGGAAACUGGGUCUAAUUCCCGAUAGGACUGCAGGGUGGUGCCUGUGGUGGAAAACGAUUUUCUAGUGGUUGGGGAUGAGCUCGCGGCCUAUCAGCUUGUUGGUGGGGUAAUGGCCUACCAAGGCGGCGGCGGGUAGCCGGCCUGAGAGGGUGGACGGGCACAUUGGGACUGGGAUACGGCCCAGACUCCUACGGGAGGCAGCAGUGGGGAAGAUUGGACAAUGGGCGGAAGCCUGAUGCAGCGACGCCGCGUGGGGGAUGACGGCCUUCGGGUUGUAAACUCCUUUCGACCGCGAGGAAGCCACCUGGUUGGAAGGGUGGUGACGGUAGUGGUAGAAGAAGCACCGGCUAACUACGUG
rnacentral:rRNA from 1 species